rnacentral:rRNA from 1 species
UACGUAGGGUGCAGGCGUUAAUCGGAAUUACUGGGCGUAAAGCGUGCGCAGGCGGUUUGCUAAGACAGGUGUGAAAUCCCCGGGCUUAACCUGGGAACUGCGCUUGUAACUGGCAAGCUUGAGUGUGGCAGAGGGGGGUGGAAUUCCACGUGUAGCAGUGAAAUGCGUAGAGAUGUGGAGGAACACCGAUGGCGAAGGCAGCCCCCUGGGUUAACACUGACGCUCAGGCACGAAAGCGUGGGGAGCAAACAGG